GGAGGCGCUCAAAGGUUCUCUCAGUACGGUCGGAAAUCGUACGUAGAGUGUAAAGGCAAAAGAGAGCUUGAUUGCAAGACAUACAGGUCGAGCAAGGAUGAAAAUCGGACUUAGUGAUCCGGUGGUUCUGCGUGGAAGGGCCAUCGCUCAACGGAUAAAAGCUACCCUGGGGAUAACAGGCUUAUCUCCCCCAAGAGUCCACAUCGACGGGGAGGUUUGGCACCUCGAUGUCGGCUCAUCACAUCCUGGGGCUGUAGUAGGUCCCAAGGGUUGGGCUGUUCGCCCAUUAAAGUGGUACGCGAGCUGGGUUCAGAACGUCGUGAGACAGUUCGGUCCCUAUCCGUCGCAGGCGUAGGAAAUUUGAGGAGACCUGUCCUUAGUACGAGAGGACCGGGAUGGACGUACCUCUGGUGUACCAGUUGUUCUGCCAAGGGCAUGGCUGGGUAGCUAUGUACGGAAUGGAUAAGCGCUGAAAGCAUCUAAGCGCGAAGCCAACUUCAAGAUAAGAUUUCCCACCGCAAGGGUAAGACCCCAGAAAGACUAUCUGGUUGAUAGGUCGAAGGUGUAAGUG
rnacentral:rRNA from 1 species